GGAUAAUAGUUAAUUAUAACAUCUGAAUUGCAAUCAGGAAGUAUUGAAAAAUCAAUUUAUCUUA
rnacentral:tRNA from 1 species